rnacentral:misc_RNA from 1 species
GAAAUGCGAUAAGUAAUGUGAAUUGCAGAAUUCCGUGAAUCAUCGAAUCUUUGAACGCACAUUGCGCCCUCUGGUAUUCCGGGGGGCAUGCCUUAAGCUGUAAUAGUGCUAAUUGGUGGAUCAUCAGACCGGCACUCGCCUUGUUGUCGGUGGUGUUCUGCCAUAAUGCUCUAGAGGGUACGCCUUUAUAGGGUACUUCCUUACCACACGGAUGGGCAGCCUAGUCGACUGACUAUGGUCCGGCCGCCGGGUAUUGUGAAAACGUCUAUCGUAUAUACUCGGAUUGGUUGUGUGACCGUCGCUUGGCUUAACCUAUACGUGCCUGGUAGUAGUUUUUCGAUUUCCCGACCUCAACUCAGGUGUGAUUACCCGCUGAACUUAAGC